AUGGAAAAGCAAGGUGAUGCCUUCCAUUCCCACAAAGGGAGGCGCGCCGUGGCCGUCUGGAGGCUCAGAGCCCCUGGCCCCAGGACCUUCACACCAGAAAGGAGGAGAGGACGAGUUAGGUUACAGCUAGGAUGCAUCUUGAAGCUGUGUAGGCCAGACAUGCACGCAGGUGGGACAGUUCCUGGCUUCUCGUUAAUUCCUUCUACCUUCUCCAAACAGGGUCCACAUCCAGGAGGUGAGACCCAUGAGGCUCUGUGCUUUUCACAAGCUUCCUUCUCCUGGAAGUCACAUUCUAAAUUCCUACCAUUUGAAAUGGUAGAAGCCACUGUCAUUUCAUCUGCCAGCAAUUUCACCCCCUCCCGAGCAGAAUAAAUCCUGGGGUUUAUUUGUAUUGGAGACCACCCCUCUCCCUGGCUCCUGUUGUGCACAGAUGAGCCCCGGAUCUGAGGGAGAAGUAUAGAGCAGGCUGACUUCCUGUGCUACAGGCUUCUUGAAGGCUGGGGAAGGCCGGGGAGUGCUGGCUGGAGCAGCAGGCUGGAGCCGGGGAGGCCGGCAGGCCCAGUGGGGUGGGGGCCUGGGACCAGGGCACGAGCCAUGAAAGGGAAGAGCAGGCUUUGUGGCGGGGCUUCUUUCCUGAUCGAGUCUGGGGUCCCUGGGCUUCGAGACAGCCCCGGAACCUGUGCCGACAGGAGCAGCUCCUGCUGUGUUCCAUCCUCAGGGGCCCUGGGGUCUGGCUUGGUUCCCCCUGCUCUGUGACAUAGCAGAGAUCCUGAUUUCUUCACAGAAGCUGGGCCUCUUAAAGUACUGCGUAUUUUGUUCCAGCAACAAACAAUGAGCAGACAGACAAAUAGAUGUGAUAUUAAAAAGGAUACGCUUAAGGGAAUGUGUUCACAGUGUCUGAUGAAAGGAAGAGAGGCAGCCCCACUGGCCCCAGAGGGGGCCUCCUCAACACCGAGCUGAGCGCAUCACUCAGAGCUCCCCGGGCCCCAUGCUGCCCACAGGUGCCAAGUCCGCCCUGCUGGUGGGGCUCGCCGCUCCCUCCACCCUGGCCCCAGCGCCACCAGGCUCUGCUCCGACUGGGCUCACCUCCCACCCUCUCACCCACCCCCAAGGAUUCUGCACACCUCUGUGUCUUUGCACGUGUUCUCUUGGCCUGAAUUUCCUUCUCUUCGUUGUUCUACCCGGUGGAAGGGAUGUCACCUCCUCUAGAAAGCCUGGCCGUGAGGCUCGAAUAACACUUGAUGCUGCAUUGAGGUUCUGUUUCCCAGGAUACAGUGAGCUCUGAG
rnacentral:lncRNA from 1 species